AUUGAACGCUGGCGGCAGGCUUAACACAUGCAAGUCGAGCGAGCGGCGGACGGGAGAGUAACGUCUGGGACACUGCCUGAUGGAGGGGGAUAACUCCUGGAAACGGUGCCAAAUACCGCUUACCAUCCUAUGUACCCAGAUGGGAUGAGCCAGUAGGUGGGGUAAGGGCUAACCUAGGCGCCGAUCCCUAGCUGGUCUGAGAGGGUGAACGGCCACACUGGAACUGAGACACGGUCCAGACUCCUACGGGAGGCAGCAGUGGGGAAUAUUGCACAAUGGGCGCAAGCCUGAUGCAGCCAUGCCGCGUGUGUGAAGAAGGUCUUCGGGUCGUAAAGCACUGUCAGCGAGGAGGCGUUACCCGCAGAAGAAGCACCGGCUAACUCCGUGCCAGCAGCCGCGGUAAUAC
rnacentral:rRNA from 1 species